rnacentral:rRNA from 1 species
CUGGUGUCAAGCCGGUGAUGUGACUGUUCGGACUGCUGUUGCUGCCGCCGCCACUUGAAAUUAGCUGAGAACUGUCGCCCCCUACACUGAGAUUUGGAAAACAACGUUGCGCAAUACGAUUGACCAUAGUCCUUUCCGGAUGAAAUAAAACCUUGAUUGCCACAUUGCGAUGCGAACGUGUGAUGUGCUGUUUGACUUCUUCUUCCUCGGCUGAUUUCCAGCUGCAAUAAGCACACUGAUACGGUUUGUGAUCGAGAUGUUGCCUUGAGUGUAGAAUCAAAGUUGACAAUUGCUUGGGAACCAUUUCUGAACAAAGCUGACAUUUGGUUUUCAUAUCAUCAACUUUGGCUUGUACCGCGGCAGCUGCUGCAGCUGCAGCCGCAGCUUGUAAAAAUCCCGCCGCUACUAUUGCAGCUGCUGUUUGCGAUGAUUGCAUUUCGUCGUCGUCUUCAAUCAAUUGAUGCUGCUGUUGUUUGAAGUUGUUAUUUUCUACUCGUGAUGAUGAUUCUGCAUAGUUGUUGUUGUUGCUAUUAUUAUUAUUAGUGGUAGUCAUGUCGUCCUCUUCAUCAUCGUCAACUUUCAAUGAUUUGGAAUUGUUCCACUGUGCCAGUGCUGUAACAGCACCAGCAACGGCCAGCUUGUCUGAUGACACCAACGAUGAAGCCAAAGAUCCGUAACACUUCACUGCCAACUCUUGCAAUCCACGCAUACCGUCCGCAGGACAGCAAACAAUUCGAGUUUCUUGACUCUGCGGAUGGGCACUGUGCACGUGCUGUUUGGCGCGAAUCAGAAAAUUAGUAGCGUAUGUGCAAACGGGACAGUGGAAAAAUUUGUUAGCAAUAUGACUGGGCAAAUGGUCGGUCAACGCCGUCUCAGUGCACGGUAUCGACUGCGAGCAGAGCAGACAGACGACAGUAUCUUUGGUGGUUCGCCCGUGGCCGGCACUGGCAACGUUGACCGAACCGUCGGCUGCCAACGCGUUCACCACCGCCGCCACAGCCGGAGGCAUACUGCUGGCAUUGGUACCGGAUAAAGUGGACGACGCUUCGCCGGCAAAGCCGGCCAAAAAUGGAAAGCAACGCAAUUUCAUGGUCACGAUGCGAUCCUUGAUGCCCGGCACUGGUUUGUGGAUGAUUUUCACCGGCAAGCCGCUGUGCACUUGUUGGAUGUGUCUGGUAACUUUGCCCCGAAUGUACGACUGGUAUGUGCAAUAGUGGCAAUGGUAGGGCUUGUAGUCGAGGUGUUUGCAGGCGUGAUUUUCGAACGAGCUCGGAUUGUUGGCAAUGUACGUACUGCACAAGCAGCACAUCUUCUUGCCGAGGCUGGGCAAUUCCAGCGCCGGAUCACCGGCUGAGAAUGGUUCCUUUUUCACCGCAACCAACUCCCGUUCACCGUUCACAGUGCUGCUGCUGCUGCUGCUGCUGCUGCUGCUAUUGUUUACUUGCUGUUGUUGUGUGUUGUUGUACACACACACCCACACAAUUCUGUGUGCAGUUGUCGUAUGUUUUCGAAAGGGAAUCCGGUUGAUAUUCCGGAACCGAGUAACGGAGACAAAGAGUAGCGCUUUAAUCUUCCGGUUGGCGUUCAACUCAAUCGCGCGGUAACGCAAGCGAACUCGGAAAAUGACCGUCGUGAGUUUCGAAAAGAGUUUUCUUUUCUUUUUAAGGGACGCAUUCCCUGGAACCGGGUUGUCCGGAGAUAGGGAUUCUGGUAUCCAUAAAACGCCGACUCUUUCACGGUGUUCGGAGCGCUCUCGUCGGUACGUGAAAAUCCGAGCGACGCCUGGUAAAUCUCGUACUUGGUCGUACUGAUAUCCGCAGCAGGUCUCCAAGGUGAAUAGCCUCUGGCCGAUAGAAUAAUGUAGGUAAGGGAAGUCGGCAAAACGGAUCCGUAACUUCGGAACAAGGAUUGGCUCUAAGGGCUGGGCCGAUCGGGCUGAGGUUUCAAGCGUGCAGUGUAUGCUUGGCUGAGCUGUGCUGAGGAUUGAUUAGCUUGGUGCCGUUUGUUGACCCAAGCGGCUGUCCAGGUGGUCAUGUCUGAAGCAAAGCUGGCCGACAGACCGGCACGUGCAGAACCUGAGCUGCGCGGCUGUCAGUUUAUUUGUACAGACCGUUUCGGUCGGCAUUCAACAGCCAACUUAGAACUGGCACGGACACAAGGAAUCUGACUGUAUAAUUAAAACAAAGCAUUGCGAUGGCCGAUGAUCGGUGUUGACGCAAUGUGAUUUCUGCCCAGUGCUCUGAAUGUCAAAGUGAAGAAAUUCAACCAAGCGCGGGUAAACGGCGGGAGUAACUAUGACUCUCUUAAGGUAGCCAAAUGCCUCGUCAUCUAAUUAGUGACGCGUAUGAAUGGAUCAACAAGAUUCCUUCUGUCCCUAUCUACUAUCUAGCGAAACCACAGCCAAGGGAACGGGCUUGGCAAAAUCAGCGGGGAAAGAAGACCCUGUUGAGCUUGACUCUAGUCUGACUCUGUGAAGAGACAUGAAAGGUGUAGCAUAGGUGGGAGGCUGCAGCCGGGCACUGCUUGCGCGGUGUCUCUGUGGUCGCCAAUGAAAUACCACUACUUUGAUCGUUUCUUUACUUAUUCGGUAAAGCGAAAAAAUUGUGGCCAAUUUUGCGGUCUCGCCGCUGUUGGUCAUUGUUUUAAUGUUGGAUUGAAGCUUCGUUUGUAGCCGUCGUUUUGUGUCGCCGUUUGACGUGCAUUCGCAGUGGUGUGGGUUUCUUGGCUCGCGCGCGGCUAGUGUCGUCAACAGCGGACGACCGGCGAUUGGUUUGAAGUGAUUCGCUCCGGAAACAGUGUCAGACGGGGAGUUUGACUGGGGCGGUACAUCUGUUAAACGAUAACGCAGGUGUCCUAAGGUAAGCUCAGCGAGGACAGAAACCUCGCCUAGAGUAAACGGGCACAAGCUUACUUGAUUUUGAUUUCCAGUACGAAUAAAAACCGCGAAAGCGUGGCCUAUCGAUCCUUUUGAUUGUGUAGAUUUCACGCAAGAGGUGUCAGAAAAGUUACCACAGGGAUAACUGGCUUGUGGCAGCCAAGCGUCCAUAGCGACGUUGCUUUUUGAUCCUUCGAUGUCGGCUCUUCCUAUCAUUGCGAAGCAGAAUUCGCCAAGCGUUGGAUUGUUCACCCACCAAUAGGGAACGUGAGCUGGGUUUAGACCGUCGUGAGACAGGUUAGUUUUACCCUACUGAUGACAAGUCGUUGCGAUAGUAAUCCUGCUCAGUACGAGAGGAACCGCGGGAUCAGACAUUUGGUUCAUGCGCUCGGCUGAAAGGCCGGUGGCGCGAAGCUAGCAUCUGCAAGAUUAUGACUGAACGCCUCUAAGUCAGAAUCUUUUCUAGUCAUUGGCAACGAUAAGUUGCGUCCGGACUCGAUGCGAGGAAACGACUAGGCUUUGUUGUGCGUCUUUUUUGCUCAGCGAAGCCGUCAUUAUACCACGGUAGCAGGCAGUUGGGAUAGGUUGCGAAAAAGCAAUUUUU